rnacentral:rRNA from 1 species
CCAAUAGCGUAUAUUAAAGUUGCUGCAGUUAAAAAGCUCGUAGUUGAAUUUCGGAACCAAUAUGUUGGUUGUGCCUCGGUACGUACUGGCAUUGUUGGUUUCUCCCUUCUGACGAACUAUGAUGUCAUUAAUUUGGUAGUCUUAACCAUAAACUAUACCGACUAGGGAUCGGAUGAUGUUAAUUUUUUAAUGACUCAUUC